AAAUUGAAGAGUUUGAUCAUGGCUCAGAUUGAACGCUGGCGGUAGGCUUAACACAUGCAAGUCGAACGGUAGCAGGAAGAGGCUUGCUUCUUUGCUGACGAGUGGCGGACGGGUGAGUAA
rnacentral:rRNA from 1 species